rnacentral:rRNA from 1 species
AUUGAACGCUGGCGGCAGGCCUAACACAUGCAAGUCGAGCGGAUGAAGGGAGCUUGCUCCUGGAUUCAGCGGCGGACGGGUGAGUAAUGCCUAGGAAUCUGCCUGGUAGUGGGGGAUAACGUCCGGAAACGGGCGCUAAUACCGCAUACGUCCUGAGGGAGAAAGUGGGGGAUCUUCGGACCUCACGCUAUCAGAUGAGCCUAGGUCGGAUUAGCUAGUUGGUGGGGUAAAGGCCUACCAAGGCGACGAUCCGUAACUGGUCUGAGAGGAUGAUCAGUCACGCUGGAACUGAGACACGGUCCAGACUCCUACGGGAGGCAGCAGCGGGGAAUAUUGGACAAUGGGCGAAAGCCUGAUCCAGCCAUGCCGCGUGUGUGAAGAAGGUCUUCGGAUUGUAAAGCACUUUAAGUUGGGAGGAAGGGCAGUAAGUUAAUACCUUGCUGUUUUGACGUUACCAACAGAAUAAGCACCGGCUAACUUCGUG